rnacentral:tRNA from 1 species
GCUGGCGUAGCUCAGCUGGCCAGAGCAGCUGACUUGUAAUCAGCAGGUCGUCGGUUCGAAUCCGACCGCCAGCUCCA